AUGUUCGGGUAAUCGCUGCACGGAUCACACCGUGUAGAGGAAAGUCCAUGCUCACACAGACUGAGAUGUUUGUAGUGUUCGUGCUUGACGAAAUCAUAAGUCAAGGUAACCAUUAUUGGUUAACGGCAGGGAAGAUGCCUACGUCUUUUAGAUAGGGCAUCCUAACCUUGAAAGUGCCACAGUGACGUAGUCAAGUAGGAAACUACUUGAGUGGAACGAGGUAAACCCCACGAGUGAGCAACCCAAAUAUUGGUAGGGGCACCCUUGAUGAAGGAAUACAACUUUAAGAGGGACAAGCUAAAUCGGCUUGUAGAUAGAUGAUUACUACUAACGUACGAGGCUGACCACCGUUUGCAGUACUACAGUACAAAACAUGGCUUACAGAA
rnacentral:RNase_P_RNA from 1 species